CACCUGGAGAGACGUCUGCGUCACGUCUUCACUCACGGACACAUUCAGACGUGAGCUCCGGACUGCAGGACACAGGUUUGGUGUUAAGUGGGAAUAUCACAGGAUCGCGAGAGACUCCAUGAACUCUAAAGACAACGGUCAGAUCUUGAACGCGGAUACGGACAUCUGACCUAAACACUUUCUUCCUGUAUUUCUAAUAUGAAUGUUCAUGUAUCCUCAUAUCAAAUAAGACUACUGCAGGUUUUUUCUCUUGUCAAACAGCGGAUGAGCGGCUCGUCUCAGGGUUUGUUCGGUGUCUGGAUGUUUUCCAGCGGAGCAGGAAGUCCUUAAAUUACCCUCAGACCCUAUAUCAUUCGUGCAUCUCUGAUGAAUCCGGAUCAUGCAGCAGCGCCUCGCGGGACUCGAUCGUGUUUUCUGAACAUGUCUCCGUGUCUCUGGGGUCAGUUAGUGUCUCUAAUCAGCGUCCCGGAGGAAGACGGUUCUGCAGCGGGACUCAUUCGUGUCAGACUGGAUCAGAAUGAUGCUGAACAAACACUGAACAGACGCUGCUCCGCUGUCAGUGUGUGACACAUCAAUUAUCCUCCGAGGAAAAGCUGCUGUAUGAAAUGAACUGUGAUGAACACCUGAAUCUGUUCAUGAUGAACAUGAAGUCAUGUGUGCAGCUAUUGUUGUGUGCUGAAAUAAUCUAUUCACCCGGUGGACUGAAGAGAUUGACAAGAGCUCCAGCACAAUGAGCGAGCGUUUCUGAAGCGUCGUGUUUGUCUGUCUGUCAGAUGCUUUUGUCAGACGUGUCAGAUUCUCGCGCGCUGAUGAUUGUAAUCACUCACACAAGAGCGUCAGGAUUAGUCACGAGAGACGCUCAUCAUCUGACUAAUGCUGAAGACCUCCAGAUGAACUUACAGGAUGCUUUUAUUUCAUGAGACUUGUGUGUGUUUGUAAAUGCUAAUUGUUUAUAAUGUAAUUUUAUAAAUGCAGCCUAAUAAAUACAAAUUAAUUAUGUGAAUUGAAUGUGGAAAAUGUUUGUGUAUAAUCUAAAAAUAAUAAUUUGAUGGUGUUUUGGGAGGAGUUUGAAAGCAUCCACUCAUGUAAAAGAGCAGCGAGAACAUUGCUAAACAUCUGCUUUUGUGUUUCUGAAAGUGGUUUGUAAUGACGAGAGUGAUUAAACGUUGAGAUUUUUUUUUUUUAGAUUUACUUUUUCCUUUUAUUAUGAUAGGACAGGAAACAAACAGGAAGAGAGAGAGAGAGGGACAGGAUCAGGACGGGUUUGCGAGCCGGGACUCGAACUCGGGUCACCCAAAGUGCAACGGCGCUGCCCACGAGGCUAUCGGCACCGACACGAUGAGAUUAUUUAAUAAGUUUGGCCUGUAACCAACAACAAAAAUGUAUGAUACUUGCACAUUUUGUUCAUCAUGAUAAUCAUCCCUUUCUUCUAAGCGUUUAGUUCAGUUGGAUUGGAAGUUUGACAUGUUGAUAUGAUCGCCUCGUCUCUCCAUCUUCAGAAGUCUCCACACACUCGCGGCGCUCGCGGCCUCUGGACUCCAGGCGCCUGUGGCUUCAGGCGAGCCGCGUCCUUCUCUCCGGAUGGAUGUAGCUCUGAUCUCCGGGAUGUCAGCGGGCAGCCGAACCUCUCGACCGCCGGAGGACUGGAGCU